GUACUUGUACGAGUCCGUCCAGAAUCAGAAACGGUCACCACGUUUGGUUGGUCGAAUUGAAUCGAGCGGUGCAGGAUAGGGUCAUCCAUAUUCCAAGAAUAUUCCUAUCCCAUGCUGAACCGAGCGGUGCGGCAAAAUUGACGGAACGGACCGAUCCAGGACCAGGCGCGCUCGCCUUUUCACCGCUCACCUCCCGUCCACUCGGUUUUUCCCCACCCCUCUGUUUCUCUCACCCCCUCCGUUUCUUCUCUCGCCCCUGGCGACGGCACUGGGCGGCGCUCCGCCCACGCCUCCUCCAGCAACCAGCGACAGUAGCCGCCCCGCCCACGCCUCCUCCAGCAACCAGCGACAGUCAAGAGUUGGACCAGGUAAGGCCGGCACCCCCCUCCCUCCUACUUUCCCAGUAGAUCUAGGAUUCGUGUUUGACCUUACGCGCUCGUGUUCUGGAUUCACGGAUGGUGUGAGAGAUUGGGGCUUUUUUUAUUGUUCUGGAUCUGGACGGAUGAAGUUGGCCGUCUGCUUGUUGUGUAGAGGCUUCCUGUAAGAAUUUUAGGAUUUCGUGCAGGCUGUGACGUGCUCUUGUGAUGGUUCAGGCCGAUCUUCGAGAUGCUUGUAGUGCUGUACUGGUUUCACCUCUGUACUCAGCUUGUUUUGUUUUGUUUUUUUUUUCUGGUAGCUUACCUUGACCCUCUGGGCGUUUAGAAAGUGCAUUUCUGAAACAUGAUUGAUAUAUUGUUCUGACACAGUAUGGUUAGUUAUGAAAUUGAUACAUGUUUUGCACUAUUUUGGGUAAUGUAGAUGGACAACAGGAACCUUGUUAGGAGAAAAUUAUUGAUGCUUAUUACCGCAGCAGCAGCAUAUGCAGCUUCAUGUAUGGUGGCUUUGUUUGUGAUGUCUAGAAUAUUAAGCAAUAAAAGGCAACGUAUUACUUAUGGGCCAAUGGAGGAGAGGGAUAAGUCUAGAAUUGAGUAUCUUAACACAAGGAUCUACAAGGAUGAUACAACAUGCACAAAAAUGAUAAGGCUUAAGAGAAUCUCAUUUUUCCAGUUGUGCCAAGUUUUGAGGGAACGCUCUCUGUUACGUGACACUAAACAUGUAUGCAUUGAGGAACAAGUUGCCAUGUUCUUGAAUACAGUUGGUCACAACCUACGAAAUAGGUUAGUUGGUACUAAUUUUAAUAGGUCAGGUGAAACAGUUAGUCGGUACUUUGGAUUAGUCCUCCAUGCCAUAGGUGAGCUACGCAAUGAUCUUAUUCGGCCACCUUCAUUGGAGACCCCAGCCAAAAUUGCAGGGAACCCAAGAUGGGAUCCAUACUUCAAGGAUUGUAUUGGUGCUAUUGAUGGAACACAUAUAAGAGCAUCUGUUAGUAAGUCUAUGGAAGCAGCCUUUCGUGGUAGAAAAUCAUUUUCUACCCAAAAUGUUAUGGCAGCGGUAGAUUUUGACUUGAAAUUCACAUAUGUGCUGGCUGGUUGGGAGGGGACAGCACAUGAUGCUGUGGUUUUAGCUGAUGCAAUAGAGCGUGAGAAUGGACUACGUGUCCCGGAAGGAAAAUUCUACCUAGUUGAUGCUGGAUAUGGAGCCAAACCUGGGUUCAUGCCACCAUUCCGUGCUGUACGGUAUCACUUGAAUGAGUGGGGAAACAACCCUGUACAAAAUGCUGAGGAGUUGUUCAAUCUUAGGCACUCUUCUCUACGGGUGACCAUAGAGCGUGCCUUUGGAUCACUCAAGAGGAGAUUCAAAAUUCUUGAUGAUGCAACCCCAUUCUUCCCCUUCCGCACUCAAGUUGAUAUUGUCCUAGCUUGUUGCAUCCUUCACAAUUGGGUUAUUUCUCAAGGAACAGACCGUUUCAUUCUACCAGAGAGCAAUUGGACACCUAACCCUCGAAGGAUAACAAGGCAGCUAGCAAAUGACCAUAGGUUUAUGGUUGACAAGAGGCAAUUGAUUGCUGAAGCAAUGUGGGCAGAUCGUCAAAAUCACUACGGACAUUAAUAAUGUGCUUUGUAUUGUACCAAUGAAGUAUUUUUUGUGUUGUUUAUUUUCUCGAAUUUAUGUAGCAGCUAUGAACCAUUGUGUUGUGCCUAGUGGGAACCAUUGUGAUGUUGUAAUAUGAAUCAUUUUACUGUUUAAUAGGAAUGCUUGUGCUGUUUUGAUAUGAAUCCUUGCUGAUUUAAUAUGAAUAAUUUUUCUAUAUUAUGAAUUCUUGUGUUUCUUUUGUAUGUUGUAGGAGAUGGACCAGGAACAUCAGGGAGAUAACUUGGCUGCACAUGGUGGAGGUGCAAUUCAAUGGACAAGUGCUAUGUCAAGCUUUAUGCUCAACUACUUGUCUCAGCUUGUGGCUAGUGGCACUAAAACCUCUUCAGGCUUCAAGCAAGUUCAUUUGAAUGCCUGUGCAAGGGCUUUGAAUGACUGUCUGGGUGUUCAUGUCACCGGUACACAAGUUAGCAACCACCUCAGAAAGUGGAAAAAGAUUUAUGGAAAGAUUGUGAAGCUGAAAAGCUUGAGUGCAGCUAAUUGGGACGAAGAAAGUUGUACCAUAACCCUUGAGAGAGAGCAUUACAUUGGUCAUAUUCGGGACCAUCGUGAGGAUGCCAACUACUUAAACACUCCAAUUGAGCACUACCAUGAGAUGGCCACUAUCUUUGGCAAUAGUUUGGCAACUGGUGCAUAUGCCAAGGGAGCAAAUGACCCUCUCGCUGCAGAGGUUACUGAAACAGAGAAUGCACCAAAAGACACUGAAGAUGCUUCACCUACAAAUGAUCAAGUAGGGGCAAUGCCCGAUGAGGUGACAAUGUCUAUCAACAAUACUGGCGGGGAGUCCUCAGGUACUAAACCACCACCACCAAAGAAGGCCAAGGUCACUGUUGAAGAUCCUAAUAUUACCAUGGUGACUAUGAUUAGCCAGAGCCUCGGGAACUUAGCAGCAGCCAUAACAAAUGUCACCAAGGCCAUUGCUUCAGAUGGUGACAUUCCUGAGGGACUUUAUGAUGCCAUGAUGAGUAUCCCUGGAUUUGAUGCAGCCCAUCUUGAUCACUACUAUGCUUAUUUGUGUGACCAUCCACCACAAGCAAAGGCCUUUUACAAGUUGCCCCUAUCAAGCAAAAUGAUAUGGGUUGCAAGGUACAUCAAGGAGCACCUUUCCGAUGCUGAUCUAUAAGUAGCAAUCUAAAUAUUUUGCUAACCACUAAAACUGUAAUCUAUGGUGGUUUAUAAUUAGUGAUUGUGUGUUGUACCUAGUCAUGAACUGUGCUGGGGUAUUUUGUAGCAUGUUGGUGUUGGUUCUAAUAUUUUGCUAACCGUAGAACUAAAACUACAGUGGUUGAUGAACUACUACGGUGGUUGAUGGUUUGAUAUGUUUGAACUAUGGUAUGGUAUUAUCUGGUAUGAAUGAACUAUGAUCUGAUAUGUAUGAACUAUUAUCUGUGAUAUAUCUCAGUGUUGGGCUUAUAUCUGGAUGCGUUCUUUUAUGUCAA